GGGGAAUAACAGUCGGAAACGACUGCUAAUACCGCAUAAUGCAGCGGCUCGACAUCGAGACAGUUGUUAAAGCGGGGGAUUGGAGCAAUCCGACCUCGCGCCUGAAGAGGAGCCUGCGGCGGAUUAGCUAGUUGGCAGGGUAACGGCCUACCAAGGCGACGAUCCGUAGCCGGCCUGAGAGGGCGGUCGGCCACACUGGCACUGACAUACGGGCCAG
rnacentral:rRNA from 1 species